rnacentral:lncRNA from 1 species
CGGAACUAUUUUAGUAAUACUCCACUGUAUUAAAUAAUCAUAAGUAACUGAAAUCAUAUUAUUAAAAUACUUCUCAAGACAAUUAAUGACAGUUGAUACAGAUUUCUCUAAUACUUUUAAGACAAUUCUCAAGACAGUUGCCCUCCUGCAGUUUUCUUGUUACCGUUCAGUUUUGCUAAAAUAUGUAAAAAAUAAGGUCAUUUUGUUUGCAAUUAAUAAAAAGUUAAUUGAAUUGCUGUUGGUGGUAUUUUCAAAUGUUAUAAAAGAUGUCGAUAACAAUAUCUCGUAUUACGUGCAGAUUAAUACAUUCUAUGACU